AAACUUUUUUCUUAUGAAUCAAAUAUUCCAUAGUACCUUCGCAAAUUCACAAGAUUCAAUGAUUCGCAAGCAUCAUGACACAGAAUUGCACCUCAACUUUAAUGGGCAGAGCAUGGUUGAAAACUAGAGUUCAUCACCGCAGGGACAGGUUGAAUUUGAGUUGGAUCCAUCUAAAGUAUUUAGAUCAAGUUUUUAAGUUUG
rnacentral:lncRNA from 1 species